UUAAGGGCGCACGGUGGAUGCCUUGGCACUAGAAGCCGAUGAAGGACGUUACUAACGACGAUAUGCUUUGGGGAGCUGUAAGUAAGCUUUGAUCCAGAGAUUUCCGAAUGGGGAAACCCAGCAUGAGUUAUGUCAUGUUAUCGAUAUGUGAAUACAUAGCAUAUCAGAAGGCACACCCGGAGAACUGAAACAUCUUAGUACCCGGAGGAAGAGAAAGAAAAUUCGAUUCCCUUAGUAGCGGCGAGCGAAACGGGAAGAGCCCAAACCAACAAGCUUGCUUGUUGGGGUUGUAGGACACUCUGUACGGAGUUACAAAGGACGACAUUAGACGAAUCAUCUGGAAAGAUGAAUCAAAGAAGGUAAUAAUCCUGUAGUCGAAAAUGUUGUCUCUCUUGAGUGGAUCCUGAGUACGACGGAGCACGUGAAAUUCCGUCGGAAUCUGGGAGGACCAUCUCCUAAGGCUAAAUACUCUCUAGUGACCGAUAGUGAACCAGUACCGUGAGGGAAAGGUGAAAAGCACCCCGGAAGGGGAGUGAAAUAGAACCUGAAACCGUGUGCUUACAAGUAGUCAGAGCCCGUUAAUGGGUGAUGGCGUGCCUUUUGUAGAAUGAACCGGCGAGUUACGAUUUGAUGCAAGGUUAAGCAGUAAAUGUGGAGCCGUAGCGAAAGCGAGUCUGAAUAGGGCGUUUAGUAUUUGGUCGUAGACCCGAAACCAGGUGAUCUACCCUUGGUCAGGUUGAAGUUCAGGUAACACUGAAUGGAGGACCGAACCGACUUACGUUGAAAAGUGAGCGGAUGAACUGAGGGUAGCGGAGAAAUUCCAAUCGAACCUGGAGAUAGCUGGUUCUCUCCGAAAUAGCUUUAGGGCUAGCCUCAAGUGAUGAUUAUUGGAGGUAGAGCACUGUUUGGACGAGGGGCCCCUCUCGGGUUACCGAAUUCAGACAAACUCCGAAUGCCAAUUAAUUUAACUUGGGAGUCAGAACAUGGGUGAUAAGGUCCGUGUUCGAAAGGGAAACAGCCCAGACCACCAGCUAAGGUCCCAAAAUAUAUGUUAAGUGGAAAAGGAUGUGGCGUUGCCCAGACAACUAGGAUGUUGGCUUAGAAGCAGCCAUCAUUUAAAGAGUGCGUAAUAGCUCACUAGUCGAGUGACACUGCGCCGAAAAUGUACCGGGGCUAAACAUAUUACCGAAGCUGUGGAUUGUCCUUUGGACAAUGGUAGGAGAGCGUUCUAAGGGCGUUGAAGCAUGAUCGUAAGGACAUGUGGAGCGCUUAGAAGUGAGAAUGCCGGUGUGAGUAGCGAAAGACGGGUGAGAAUCCCGUCCACCGAUUGACUAAGGUUUCCAGAGGAAGGCUCGUCCGCUCUGGGUUAGUCGGGUCCUAAGCUGAGGCCGACAGGCGUAGGCGAUGGAUAACAGGUUGAUAUUCCUGUACCACCUAUAAUCGUUUUAAUCGAUGGGGGGACGCAGUAGGAUAGGCGAAGCGUGCGAUUGGAUUGCACGUCUAAGCAGUAAGGCUGAGUAUUAGGCAAAUCCGGUACUCGUUAAGGCUGAGCUGUGAUGGGGAGAAGACAUUGUGUCUUCGAGUCGUUGAUUUCACACUGCCGAGAAAAGCCUCUAGAUAGAAAAUAGGUGCCCGUACCGCAAACCGACACAGGUAGUCAAGAUGAGAAUUCUAAGGUGAGCGAGCGAACUCUCGUUAAGGAACUCGGCAAAAUGACCCCGUAACUUCGGGAGAAGGGGUGCUCUUUAGGGUUAACGCCCAGAAGAGCCGCAGUGAAUAGGCCCAAGCGACUGUUUAUCAAAAACACAGGUCUCUGCUAAACCGUAAGGUGAUGUAUAGGGGCUGACGCCUGCCCGGUGCUGGAAGGUUAAGAGGAGUGGUUAGCUUCUGCGAAGCUACGAAUCGAAGCCCCAGUAAACGGCGGCCGUAACUAUAACGGUCCUAAGGUAGCGAAAUUCCUUGUCGGGUAAGUUCCGACCCGCACGAAAGGCGUAACGAUUUGGGCACUGUCUCAACGAGAGACUCGGUGAAAUCAUAGUACCUGUGAAGAUGCAGGUUACCCGCGACAGGACGGAAAGACCCCGUGGAGCUUUACUGUAGCCUGAUAUUGAAAUUCGGCACAGCUUGUACAGGAUAGGUAGGAGCCUUUGAAACGUGAGCGCUAGCUUACGUGGAGGCGCUGGUGGGAUACUACCCUAGCUGUGUUGGCUUUCUAACCCGCACCACUUAUCGUGGUGGGAGACAGUGUCAGGCGGGCAGUUUGACUGGGGCGGUCGCCUCCUAAAAGGUAACGGAGGCGCUCAAAGGUUCCCUCAGAAUGGUUGGAAAUCAUUCAUAGAGUGUAAAGGCAUAAGGGAGCUUGACUGCGAGACCUACAAGUCGAGCAGGGUCGAAAGACGGACUUAGUGAUCCGGUGGUUCCGCAUGGAAGGGCCAUCGCUCAACGGAUAAAAGCUACCCCGGGGAUAACAGGCUUAUCUCCCCCAAGAGUUCACAUCGACGGGGAGGUUUGGCACCUCGAUGUCGGCUCAUCGCAUCCUGGGGCUGUAGUCGGUCCCAAGGGUUGGGCUGUUCGCCCAUUAAAGCGGUACGCGAGCUGGGUUCAGAACGUCGUGAGACAGUUCGGUCCCUAUCCGUCGUGGGCGUAGGAAAUUUGAGAGGAGCUGUCCUUAGUACGAGAGGACCGGGAUGGACAUACCUCUGGUGUACCAGUUGUCGUGCCAACGGCAUAGCUGGGUAGCUAUGUGUGGACGGGAUAAGUGCUGAAAGCAUCUAAGCAUGAAGCCCCCCUCAAGAUGAGAUUUCCCAACUUCGGUUAUAAGAUCCCUCAAAGAUGAUGAGGUUAAUAGGUUCGAGGUGGAAGCAUGGUGACAUGUGGAGCUGACGAAUACUAAUCGAUCGAAGACUUAAUC
rnacentral:rRNA from 2 species